UACGAAGGGGGCUAGCGUUGCUCGGAAUCACUGGGCGUAAAGGGCGCGUAGGCGGCUUUUUAAGUCGGGGGUGAAAGCCUGUGGCUCAACCACAGAAUUGCCUUCGAUACUGGAAAGCUUGAGACCGGAAGAGGACAGCGGAACUGCGAGUGUAGAGGUGAAAUUCGUAGAUAUUCGCAAGAACACCAGUGGCGAAGGCGGCUGUCUGGUCCGGUUCUGACGCUGAGGCGCGAAAGCGUGGGGAGCAAACGGG
rnacentral:rRNA from 1 species